GAUUUCUUAGACCCGGAUGUCGAUUUUCCAGAUUAGGGUCGUCUUCUUCGAGAUCCUUCGUACGGAGCGCUUCCUCUUCCACCGUUUUGUUUUUCGAUCAUUAUGAACCUAAGCACAAUCACUGUCGACGUCGCGAAUCAACUUCCUGUAACCUUACCUCCAGCUUCCUAUAUAUUGAGAUCGUACAUGGCAGGAUCACCUAAUAGUGGAUCAUGGAAAGGAGCAAUCUCAGCAGCUUCGCUAGCACCAGGACCUUCAGCUGAUUUCUCUGAUUACCCCUUCUAAUAGCACCGCAGGGCGAUAAUAAAACCCUAGGCAUCAUCAACCUGUCCGAACUUCAAAAACACAUGAUUUUGAUUCAAAUCUUCUACUCCUAAUUUGUGUGUCAUUCUCCUAUCAUCUAUCCACGCCGCGUUCUCUCUCUUUCACUCUUCUUCGAUUUCCCCUCUUAACACACACGCUCUGUGCUUAGCUUCCUCAGGUAAUUUUUAUAGGAUUUGAUUAGGGAUUCUCAUGGUUUAAGCUGGUUAGAAAUCAUCAUUGCCAUCACAGGAUCAUCUAGGAAGAUAGCCUGAUGGGUCAACAGGAAAAGUCUAGGAACAAUCACAGCUCUAAAAAGAAAGGAAUGGGUAGGAAGGGCCAGAAAGGUGGUCGUGAUUUUGAUGGAGAUAGUAACAAGAGGAACCAAUCCGGUGGUGAAGCCAAUGCAAAGGCAGAACAAACCGAAUUUGAGCAUCAGAAUCAGUUUGUCAGGUAAUUGGAGACUUUGAAUCGGAGGACUAAUUAGAUUUGUGUAAUUUUUUGUUAUUUGUACAAAAAGUUUCUGGAUUAUGAUAAAUUUUUGCAGGAAAUAUAUUGAUCCAGAAACUUCAAAGUA